rnacentral:rRNA from 1 species
GGGGAAUAUUGGACAAUGGGGGCAACCCUGAUCCAGCAAUGCCGCGUGUGUGAAGAAGGUCUUCGGAUUGUAAAGCACUUUUCGACGGGGACGAUGAUGACGGUACCCGUAGAAGAAGCCCCGGCUAACUUCGUGCCAGCAGCCGCGGUAAUACGAAGGGGGCUAGCGUUGCUCGGAAUGACUGGGCGUAAAGGGCGUGUAGGCGGUUUACACAGUCAGAUGUGAAAUCCCCGGGCUUAACCUGGGAGCUGCAUUUGAUACGUGUAGACUAGAGUGUGAGAGAGGGUUGUGGAAUUCCCAGUGUAGAGGUGAAAUUCGUAGAUAUUGGGAAGAACACCGGUGGCGAAGGCGGCAACCUGGCUCAUGACUGACGCUGAGGCGCGAAAGCGUGGGGAGCAAACAGGAUUAGAUACCCUGGUAGUCCACGCUGUAAACGAUGUGUGCUAGAUGUUGGGU